rnacentral:rRNA from 1 species
GUAGGUGGCAAGCGUUGUCCGUAAUUAUUGGGGCGUAAAGCGCGCGCAGGCGGUUCUUUAAGGGUCUGAUGUGAAAGCCCACGGGCUCAACCGUGGAGGGUCAUUGGAAACUGGAGAACUUGAGUACAGAAGAGGAAAGCGGAAUUCCACGUGUAGCGGUGAAAUGCGUAGAGAUGUGGAGGAACACCAGUGGCGAAGGCGGCUUUCUGGUCUGUAACUGACGCUGAGGCGCGAAAGCGUGGGGAGCAAACAGGAUUAGAUACCCUGGUAGUCCACGCCGUAAACGAUGAGUGCUAAGUGUUAGGGGGUUUCCGCCCCUUAGUGCUGCAGCUAACGCAUUAAGCACUCCGCCUGGGGAGUACGGCCGCAAAGGCUG